rnacentral:rRNA from 1 species
CCUACGGGAGGCAGCAGUGAGGAAUAUUGGACAAUGGAGGCAACUCUGAUCCAGCCAUGCCGCGUGCAGGAAGACGGCCCUACGGGUUGUAAACUGCUUUUAUACAGGAAGAACUAUGCCUACGUGUAGGCAUUUGACGGUACUGUACGAAUAAGGAUCGGCUAACUCCGUGCCAGCAGCCGCGGUAAUACGGAGGAUCCAAGCGUUAUCCGGAAUCAUUGGGUUUAAAGGGUCCGUAGGCGGUCUGGUAAGUCAGAGGUGAAAUCCUGCAGCUCAACUGUAGCAUUGCCUUUGAUACUGCCAGACUUGAGUUAUUGUGAAGUAGUUAGAAUGUGUAGUGUAGCGGUGAAAUGCAUAGAUAUUACACAGAAUACCGAUUGCGAAAGCAGAUUACUAACAAUAUACUGACGCUGAGGGACGAAAGCGUGGGUAGCGAACAGGAUUAGAUACCCUGGUAGUCCACGCCGUAAACGAUGGAUACUAGCUGUUCGACCAACAUUGGUUGGUUGAGUGGCUAAGCGAAAGUGAUAAGUAUCCCACCUGGGGAGUACGCUCGCAAGAGUGAAACUCAAAGGAAUUGACGG